UACGAAGGGGGGCUAGCGUUGCUCGGAAUGACUGGGCGUAAAGGGCGUGUAGGCGGAUCGGCAAGUCGGGCGUGAAAUCCCCUGGGCUCAACCCAGGAAUUGCACUCGAAACUGCCCUUUCUUGAGUGCCCGGAGAGGAAAAGCGGAAUACCUGGUGUAGAGGUGAAAUUCGUAGAUAUCAGGUGGAACACCAGUGGCGAAGGCGGCUUUCUGGACGGUAACUGACGCUGAGACGCGAAAGCGUGGGGAGCAAACAGG
rnacentral:rRNA from 1 species